GCCGGAGUGGUGGAAUAGGUAGACACGCAGCACUUAAAAUGCUGUUUCCUUUGGAAGUACGGGUUCGAUUCCCGUCUCUGGUA
rnacentral:tRNA from 1 species